GGCCGGUUAGCUCAGUUUGUUGAGCAUGGUGCUGAUAACACCAAGGUCACGGGUUCGAUUCCUGUUUGGUCCC
rfam:Apaloderma vittatum contig63304, whole genome shotgun sequence.